UCUCUUUUCGGAGUUACUGUCUUUUUGUUUUAUGUAUGUAUGUGGUAUGUAUGUAAUUUAAAUAAAUGCUUAAAUUGUAAAAGGCCAAAACAAAAUUGAUUUUACUCUAGGGUUCCCUAUUUGUUUUGUACAGUUGAGGCUUGUCAAGUGACAACCACGUACCUGUUCUGCUGACAUUCUGCAGAAUAGUUAAUAGCUUUAUUAUUAAUAUAUUAUCCCUAAUAGUUGGCAUAAAACAGGCUUAAAAGAUACAUUCUCUGUCUACACCAUACACAUUUGAAGUUAUUCAUUUUUACACAACAGCAGGCUUAGCAAUGCUAUCAUUAUAAUGGCAUCCAAUGGCCAGUGGUCAAUUUCUGGUGGGGAAGUUUCCUAUGGUUUUUGCUGUAUAUAUUAUUUAUUAUACAGUGGUUUACCAUGUUACAAGAUGUUUAAUGUGAAUGAUGAUGUGUUCAUGCUUUUAUGGAUGGCUUUUUUAAGAUAGUAAUUUUAAGUUUACAACUUGUUUUAUAUUGCUAAUAAAAUAUAUAUCAUUUUAGGGCUCACCAAGAAGGAGUCGCAGUCCAUCGCGUACAUUGAGCCCAAGAAGUAGAAGUCGUUCGCCAAGCCCAACCAGGAGAAAUAAUGGUGGUGUCACCCCAAGCAUUAUGUCUGGUUCCUAUCUAUCCUAGUGCCUUUCUGGCCAGGUGAACAUCCAUUAAUGGUGAUGGCAGAAUACGUACAUACUGUACAUGCAAGGAAAAGUGCUGGAUUUAUUAUAAACAUGAAUGUAAUACUGUAGCUGAUUUAGAAA